rnacentral:rRNA from 1 species
UACACACCGCCCGUCACACCAUGGGAGUUGGUUUCACCCGAAAGGUGGCGACGCUAACCCGCAAGGGAGGCAGCCAACCACGGUGGGAUCAGCGACUGGGGUG